AGGAGACAGAGGACCGAGCCAGGACAUCAGUAGUGAGGAGGAGACAGAGGACCGAGCCAGGACAUCAGUAUUGAGGAGGAGAUGGAGAGGACCGAGCCAGGACAUCAGUAGUGAGGAGGAGACAGAGGACCGAGCCAGGACAUCAGUAUUGAGGAGGAGAUGGAGAGGACCGAGCUAGGACAUCAGUAGUGAGGAGGAGACAGAGGACCGAGCCAGGACAUCAGUAUUGAGGAGGAGAUGGAGAGGACCGAGCCAGGCCGUCAGUAUUGAGGAGGAGAUGGAGAGGACCGAGCCAGGACAUCAGUAUUGAGGAGGAGAUGGAGAGGACCGAGCCAGGCCGUCAGUAUUGAGGAGGAGUUGGAGAGGACCGAGCCAGGACAUCAGUAUUGAGGAGGAGUUAGAGAGGACCGAGCCAGGUCGUCAGUAUUGAGGAGGAGAUGGAGAGGACCGAGCAAGGACAUCAGUAUUGAGGAGGAGUUAGAGAGGACCGAGCCAGGUCGUCAGUAUUGAGGAGGAGAUGGAGAGGACCGAGCCAGGUCGUCAGUAUUGAGGAGGAGAUGGAGAGGACCGAGCCAGGCCGUCAGUAUUGAGGAGGAGUUGGAGAGGACCGAGCCAGGCCGUCAGUAUUGAGGAGGAGUUGGAGAGGACCGAGCCAGGCCGUCAGUAUUGAGGAGGAGUUGGAGAGGACCGAGCCAGGCCGUCAGUAUUGAGGAGGAGUUGGAGAGGACCGAGCCAGGUCGUCAGUACUGAGGAGGAGUUAGAGUGGACUGAGCCAGGCAUAGCUAGUACUGGCACAACAGCAGUUAAUCUAACUACAUGUUCUCUUGAACACGCUACGACACGUGUAGGAGUGUAUGAGUGUGAGAUGAUGGGAGGGGCUGUUUUCACAAUCUGACACUGUGUUCCAGGUUUAUAGGCCAAUGGCAGGAGAGACACGCUCAAAGACAUCAAAGAAUAUUACAGUUCAUCACCCGCCCCCCCUCCCCACCUACAGUGUAAUGACAUUUAGCCAAUCCUAUAAAAAUCCCAAGA
rnacentral:lncRNA from 1 species